rnacentral:piRNA from 1 species
UAGGUCAUGACGUCUUACGUAGCAUGGGU